ensembl:snRNA U6 U6 spliceosomal RNA
GUGCUCACCUUGUAAGAACAUAUACUAAAAUUGGAAUGAUACAGAGAAGAUUAGUAUGAUCCCUGCGUAGAGAUGACCCCUUUUAUCCCAUCCAGGCUACACACCUUU